UACGAAGGGGGCUAGCGUUGCUCGGAAUUACUGGGCGUAAAGCGCACGUAGGCGGUCUUUUAAGUCGGGGGUGAAAUCCUGGAGCUCAACUCCAGAACUGCCUUCGAUACUGGAAGACUUGAGUCCGGGAGAGGUGAGUGGAACUGCGAGUGUAGAGGUGAAAUUCGUAGAUAUUCGGAAGAACACCAGUGGCGAAGGCGGCUCACUGGACCGUAGUUGACGCUGAGGUGCGAAAGCGUGGGGAGCAAACAGG
rnacentral:rRNA from 1 species